rnacentral:snRNA from 1 species
CCCUGUCUACUAUCCAGCG